rnacentral:rRNA from 1 species
UACGUAGGGUGCAAGCGUUGUUCGGAAUUAUUGGGCCUAAAGCAUCCGUAGCCGGUUCUACAAGUCUUCCGUUAAAUCCAACUGCUUAACAGGUGGGCUGCGGAAGAUACUAUAGAGCUAGGAGGCGGGAGAGGCAAGCGGUACUCGAUGGGUAGGGGUAAAAUCCGUUGAUCCAUUGAAGACCACCAGUGGCGAAGGCGGCUUGCCAGAACGCGCUCGACGGUGAGGGAUGAAAGCUGGGGGAGCAAACCGG